rnacentral:siRNA from 1 species
UCAUUUAGGGUUACAUCAUUU